rnacentral:tRNA from 1 species
GGGCGAUUAACUCAGCGGCUAGAGUAUCAGCCUUACAAGCUGGGAGUCGGGGGUUCAAAUCCCUCAUCGCCCACCA